UACGUAGGGUGCGAGCGUUGUCCGGAAUUAUUGGGCGUAAAGAGCUCGUAGGCGGUCUGUCGCGUCGAUCGUGAAAACUUGGGGCUUAACCCUGAGCUUGCGGUCGAUACGGGCAUGACUGGAGUUCGGCAGGGGAGACUGGAAUUCCUGGUGUAGCGGUGAAAUGCGCAGAUAUCAGGAAGAACACCUAUGGCGAAGGCAGCUCUCUGGGACGGUACUGACGCUGAGACGCGAAAGCGUGGGGAGCAAACAGG
rnacentral:rRNA from 1 species